rnacentral:rRNA from 1 species
GAUGAACGCUAGCUACAGGCUUAACACAUGCAAGUCGAGGGACCGGCGCACGGGUGAGUAACACGUAUCCAACCUGCCCUUUACUCGGGGAUAGCCUUUCGAAAGAAAGAUUAAUACCCGAUGUAAAGGAUGGGGCUGCGUUCCAUUAGGUUGUUGGUGAGGUAACGGCUCACCAAGCCUUCGAUGGAUAGGGGUUCUGAGAGGAAGGCCCCCCACAUUGGAACAGAGACACGGUCCACACUGCUACGGGAGGUAGCAGUGUGGAAUAUUGGUCAAUGGACGCAAGUCUGAACCAGCCAAGUAGCGUGCAGGAUGACGGCCUAUGGGUUGUAAACUGCUUUUAUAUGGGGAUAGGUACCAUAUGAAUAAGGACCGGCUAAUUCCGUGCCAGCCGCCGCGGUAAUAC